rnacentral:rRNA from 1 species
UGAACGCUGGCGGCGUGCCUAAUACAUGCAAGUAGAACGCUGAAGCUUGGUGCUUGCACCGAGCGGAUGAGUUGCGAACGGGUGAGUAACGCGUAGGUAACCUGCCUCUUAGCGGGGGAUAACUAUUGGAAACGAUAGCUAAUACCGCAUAAAAGUCGAUAUCGCAUGAUAUUGAUUUGAAAGGUGCAAUUGCAUCACUAAGAGAUGGACCUGCGUUGUAUUAGCUAGUUGGUGAGGUAACGGCUCACCAAGGCGACGAUACAUAGCCGACCUGAGAGGGUGAUCGGCCACACUGGGACUGAGACACGGCCCAGACUCCUACGGGAGGCAGCAGUAGGGAAUCUUCGGCAAUGGGGGCAACCCUGACCGAGCAACGCCGCGUGAGUGAAGAAGGUUUUCGGAUCGUAAAGCUCUGUUGUAAGAGAAGAACGAGUGUGAGAGUGGAAAGUUCACACUGUGACGGUAACUUACCAGAAAGGGACGGCUAACUACGUG